UGUGACAGAGAUCAGAGUAAUCUCAACGUC
rnacentral:piRNA from 1 species